GUGCACAUCAUCCUCUGUAUUUCGUUUAUCCUGAUUUUGGCUAGAAUAACUGUUUUCUUUCUAUUUAUCUUCACACGUUAAGCCCGGUCAUUCUGGCAUCUGAUAAAACAUGCUCUGCUAGUUUUCCGAUCUCUGAACUAAGACGUGAGAGUUUGGUAGUGUAUCCGUGACAGCAGUUAGGUGAGAGGGUACAGUAUAACCCCUGAAAUCGCAUAGCUUGCAC